rnacentral:ribozyme from 14 species
AAAAAACAACAAACACUUUUGAAGAAGAAGAAGAGAAAAGAGAGGAAAAAAAAUUUCGUUCUUUUUCAAAGCUGUCGUAUUUUUUACUCUUUUGUACUCACUCUGUCGCGCUCUCUUUUGUUCUAUUCUUUUUAAA